rnacentral:hammerhead_ribozyme from 1 species
AUCCAGCUGGUGACGAGUCCCAAAUAAGACGAAAUGUACAUCCUGAAU